AUACGAAGGGGGCUAGCGUUGUUCGGAAUUACUGGGCGUAAAGCGCACGUAGGCGGACUGUUCAGUCAGAGGUGAAAUCCCGGGGCUCAACUCCGGAACUGCCUUUGAUACUGGCAGUCUAGAGACUGGAAGAGGUGAGUGGAAUUCCGAGUGUAGAGGUGAAAUUCGUAGAUAUUCGGAGGAACACCAGAGGCGAAGGCGGCUCACUGGUCCAGUACUGACGCUGAGGUGCGAAAGCGUGGGGAGC
rnacentral:rRNA from 1 species